CGUAGGGGGCUAGCGUUGUCCGGAUUUAUUGGGCGUAAAGAGCGCGUAGGCGGCUAGGUAAGUCCGACGUGAAAUCUGGAGGCUCAACCUCCAGCGGUCGUUGGAAACUACUUGGCUAGAGUCCGGAAGAGGAGAGUGGAAUUCCUGGUGUAGCGGUGAAAUGCGCAGAUAUCAGGAAGAACACCGAUGGCGAAAGCAGCUCUCUGGGACGGUACUGACGCUGAGGCGCGAAAGCGUGGGGAGCGAACAGGAUUAGAUACCCUGGUAGUCCACGCCGCAAACGAUGGGUGCUAGGUGUGAGCGGUGUCGACUCCGCUCGUGCCGAAGCUAACGCAUUAAGCACCCCGCCUGGGGAGUACGGCCGCAAGGCUA
rnacentral:rRNA from 1 species